AGAGAGUGCAAGCGUUAAUCGGAAUUACUGGGCGUAAAGCGCGCGUAGGCGGAUAUUUAAGUCGGAUGUGAAAGCCCCAAGCUUAACUUGGGAACUGCAUUCGAUACUGGGUAUCUAGAGUAUGGUAGAGGAAAGUGGAAUUUCCGGUGUAGCGGUGAAAUGCGUAGAUAUCGGAAGGAACACCAGUGGCGAAGGCGGCUUUCUGGACCAAUACUGACGCUGAGGUGCGAAAGCGUGGGGAGCAAACAGGGAUUAGAGACCCUGGUAGUCCACGCUGUCAACGAUGAGAACUAGACGUUGGGAAGGUUACUUCUUAGUGUCGCAGCUAACGCGAUAAGUUCUCCGCCUGGGGAGUACGGCCGCAAGGUUA
rnacentral:rRNA from 1 species